ACUGGUUUCCUAAACUCUUGGGUUUGAUAAUGCUACUUGUGCUAUAGCAUAAAAAUACUUUUUAUGCUUUUAUAAAUGACUAUUCCCAAGAGAAAAGUAGUAGAACUGAGACUUUCUUUGAUGCCUUUACUGCUGUGAAGGAGAUUUCCUACACCAACUCAAAGAGGCAGAAGACCAAGCACAUAAGAGUUUCAUCACUAUAAAAGGAGACGGCAUAAGGUGUCCCAAUUUUUGACUUUGAAAAUCUGUUCCCUAUGCAGCUGAUGGCACGGUGACUAUUCUGUUACAUGGUGACUUCUGAGAUUCUAACAUUUGCUUUUGUUCUCUGCUGGAAGGAAAACAGAAGCCUUUGUGAAGUACGAUAUUAUAUUGGUAUUCAGGGCAAAUACAGGACCUUCAGUGUGAGACUGAACAUAGUGCUGAUUGUCACUCUCACUGAACUCCUCGCUGUGACUGUGCAGCAGCAGAGAUUGCAGGCAGUGAUCUCAGCUGAAUGAAGACCAAUGCCAAAAUUCAGGCUACACAACUCAGGUUAGUAUGCUGGCAGAAGGACUACAAGUUGAAAGUCUGAGCCCACAGGGAGCUGCAGGGAAUUCCCUGAGAAUCAAAUAGCUGUAUACAGCUGGAUCAAGGAUGCAGCCAUAAUGAGAGUAUUCAGCCACUGAGUUCUACCCUUGCACACUUCGUUUUCUUUCUUUUUUUUUUUCUUUUGCCUUUCUUUUUUACCAAAGAGAGAGAUUUUUCAUUUAAAAUUAAUUUAAAUUCUCUAAUCACAAGCAAUUCAAUACCCCAAUGUUGGGGCAGCCAAAAUCUCAGAUUUUUUUUUCUAAAUGUUAUAUAAGUGCAUGAUGAAGAAUAUGCCAUGAACAGAAACAUAUGGCCUUUCUAAUAUGAAAGCUGCUGCUAUUUCUUUCAGCAACUUGCAGCUUACUUACUGUUCCAGAGCCCAGCUGUUCACAGACUGGUCAAUGGCAAAUGAUUUUGGGGUCCUUCUAACCUCUUUCAGCGACCCCAAAGUAUUCAGUCACCAGAUCUCUUCCGUUCUGGCCUCAUCACUCAGGCUUCUUUGUUUGGGCAAUACGAUGAGUAGAAAAUGUGCCAAAAUCAAGUGAAACCAAUCUAACCCCCUUCCUGCUGACCAGGCAGCCACCCAUUACAGAACAGGCACAGAGGAGUUCAAGUAAUCUAGUGCUCUCCAUAUAUUAGACAGGGUUAUUUUUAUUGUGCUUAUUUAUUAUUAACCUUCCACCUGGCAUUUAUAGCACAUUUAUGCUCUCUAAGUGGUUGCACUUGCUAAUCAGCUAUUACAGCUGCCAGGAUGCAGCAAUAGCAGGCAGCUCCUGCCAGGGUAGGUGAUGGGGUGGCAGGCAGUGGCAGCAGUGCAGGGGACGCAUGGGAUGGAACAGGGAAGGGAGGUCUGCAGCGAUCAGCCAAGGGUCCAAAAUGUCAGGUAGAUCCAUAGUAAUGAGGCAAGUCCAACAUCAAGCUAAAAAGUCACAAAGCCACCUGCAAGCUGGGCUCUGGGUCAGAGUCAAGGAGGCACAGGACUGGGAUCCCAGAGAAAUAUCAAGAGUGGGAGCCUAAGGUUAAAAUCCUCUCCCAGGUGCAGUGGGUUAAGUCACUGCUGGGGUUUCACGCAGCCAGAGAGAAGCAUCAUCAAAGUUUUCGCUGAGUUCAAGCAGCUAAACCCUGGGGGCUCUUGGGAAGGCACACAGAACCUUGAAAACAUUUAAUGCUUUCAAGAACUGGAUAUGAGAGAGCAUUAAAGCAGAUCAGAUAUAAGUAGGUCAACCAUGCUUGGCUCCUUUUUGCUAGUUGUACAUCUGCCUAUUUGGCAGGCCACUGAGCUGCAGCCUCCCUCUUUUCUUUUUACUCCGCUAACAGCUAAACCUAAACUUGUUUCCAGGCUCACAGUAGUGUUCUUUACACAUACUGCUGUCAUUGCUGAUAAGUCACUUAAGGCUCACAUCCAUCCUCUGUUAAAGUGUUGUUUUCUUCCUUCCAUGACAAAAUAUAAGUCAGUGUUUCUUCAGAAAACAGGAAUAGACAGGAAACAAAGAGCUAUCUUUUAUUGGAUUUGUAUAGAGUUCUCCAGGGUCCAUGGGGUCUUCACCUCCGUGGGGUCACCUGUAGCCUGUUGCAAUGCAGCGAGGCGGCAAGGGCAAUGUCUGAUGAUAUGAGCUCAUGGUAAAAGAGAAAUGAGGAACUGGGGACUGAAGAUUUGCCUGUUCCGACUUCAACUUCUGAUUAAAUUCCCAUAUGUAAUUUCUUAUCAAGGCUGGACACAAACCCCACAAUGGAAGAAGAAAGAAGACUGAGUGUAGACAGGAUAUUUCUAUAUCUACUGAGCAAAGCAUCAUGGAGUACCAGUCCACAUUUAUCUGAAGAAACUGAUGUAUAUUUUGUUUUUACUUUCCCUUAGAUACCACAAUUAAGAGUUGUACCACUCUCCUUUGUUUAUACCUUGCUUGCUUCUUCAUUCAGAUUGCAUUGUGAAAUUUAAAUGAAAAAAAUACUAUCAAAGACACUUAAUGCUUAUUUUUAACUCUAGUAAAGGUCACAAACUCUGGACUUUGGUUUGGGCUUUUCUUUUUUGUUUUUUUUUUCACCCUGUUAUGUUUGGAUAUAUAAAAUAAAGACUGGAAUCUUUUAUAACUAUUGACAUAAAGUAGAUGGAGGGGAUGCACAGAUAAAUAUUGUUUCAUAAUUAGUUUGAAUGAUUAAAACAUAGCCAAAUAAAUGAGGAAGAAUAUCUCAGAGGAAAACCUGAGCAGAAUAAAUUACUCUAUAAGAAGACAGAACCAAAUUAUCAGUGGAAAUUGGGAACAUCUCUUUAGAUAGGGAUGAGAUUGGAGAAGAGAGGAGAAAUUUCAAGUGCAUGGAUUACAAAAGAUACUAAGGCCCAAAACUAUACUAAAGUUUGUGGACUGAUAGAGGUUGACAUAUUGCAGAAAAUCAAGAACAAUUUUUGAGGGUAGCUCAUUCAAGAUGAUCUUCUAAAACAAAUGUUAGGGAGAAGCUGAGAAAAGAGGGUGAAUCUGAAGACUAAAUCUCUCUUUGCAUCUGUGUGCAAUAAAGAUAGAAACUGGAGCUGAGGCAAAAAUCAUAUCUCCAUCAGUGUUUUUGACCUUCCUGAGGACUUAGCAAUGGUUUACAGUGUUUGCUUUGCCAACGGUUCUCCCAAUAUGUAACUUUCUUAAAAAGGCUCAUUUGAGCAACAUCCUAUUUUAUAGGACCCAAAUCAGUGAGAUAAAGUGGACUAAAUAAUGAAUAGGAAAUCCUACUAUGUUUUUGCACUUAACAUCUUAUCUAUUCUCAGCAAUCACAGAACAUUCAAUUUUUAAAAUACAAUGUUUCUCUACCACUAUGCUAAUUAUCCUUUUUUCUUGAAGUACCUCGAAUAACAUACUUGGCUUAAUUUUU